rnacentral:lncRNA from 1 species
GAGUGACCGCUGAGUGACCCUGAGUGACCCUGAGUGACCCUGAGUGACCCUGAGUGACCCCUGAGUGACCCCUGAGUGACCCUGAGUGACCCUGAGUGACCCCUGAGUGACCCCUGAGUGACCCCGAGUGACCUUUGACCCCCGAGUGACCCCGAGUGACCCCUGACCGGAAGCUCCGAUGACCGCCAGCGCCAGCAUCGCCUGUGGGGGGAGAAUUCCAGAAUUUUCCACCCAAAAUUCCCAAAAUCUCCCAAAAUUCCCCCCAAAUCCUUCCAGGAUCCCUCCAGGAUGCCCCAAAUUCCCCCAAAUUCUCCCCAAAAUCCCCCAAAAUCCCCAAAAUUCCUCAAUUUCUCCCCAAAUUCCCCCAAAUUCUCCCCGAUUUCUCCCAAUUUCCCCCCAAAAUUCUCCAAAUUCGCCCCAAUUUCUUCCAAAUUUCUCCCAAAUUUUCUCCAGGAACCCCCCAAAUCCCCAAAUUUUCCCCAAAUGCCUCCAAAAUUCCCCCUAAAUUCCACGUUUUUUUCCCAAAUUCCCCCCAAAAUCCCCCGAAAUUCCCAGAUUUUCUCAAAUUCCGCCCAAAUUCCCCAAAUUCUCCCCAAAUUCCUCCCAAAUUUCUCCCAAAUUUCCCAGAUUUCCCCCAAAUUCUCCCUAAAAUCCCCCCAAAGCUCCUCAAAAUUCCCCAAAUUUCCUCCAGGACCCCCCAAAUUCUCCCCAAAUUUCCCCAAAAUUCCCCAAAUUCUCCCAAUUUCUCCCAAAUUCUCCCAAAUUCUCCCCAAAUUUCCUCAAAAUUCCCCAAAUUCUCCCAAUUUCUCCCAAAUUCUCCCCAAUUCUCCCCAAAUUUCCCCCAAAAUUCCCCAAAUUGUCCCCAAAUUCCCCCAAAUUCUCCCCAAAUUCUCCCCAAAAUUCCCCAAAUUCCCCAAAUUCUCCCAAUUUCUCCCAAAUUCUCCCCAAUUUCCUCCAAAUUUCCCCCAAAAUUCCCCAAAUUCUCCCAAAAUUCCCCCCGAAUUCUCCCCAAAAUUUCCCAAAAUUCCCCAAAUUCUCCCAAAUUCUCCCCAAAUUCUCCCCAAAAUUUCCCCAAAAUUCCCCAAAUCCUCCCAAUUCCUCCC